CGGCGUGCCUAAUACAUGCAAGUCGAACGAGUUCUGAUUAUUGAAAGGUGUUUGCAUCUUGAUUUAAUUUUGAACGAGUGGCGGACGGGUGAGUAACACGUGGGUAACCUGCCCUUAAGUGGGGGAUAACAUUUGGAAACAGAUGCUAAUACCGCAUAAAUCCAAGAACCGCAUGGUUCUUGGCUGAAAGAUGGCGUAAGCUAUCGCUUUUGGAUGGACCCGCGGCGUAUUAGCUAGUUGGUGAGGUAACGGCUCACCAAGGCAAUGAUACGUAGCCGAACUGAGAGGUUGAUCGGCCACAUUGGGACUGAGACACGGCCCAAACUCCUACGGGAGGCAGCAGUAGGGAAUCUUCCACAAUGGACGCAAGUCUGAUGGAGCAACGCCGCGUGAGUGAAGAAGGCUUUCGGGUCGUAAAACUCUGUUGUUGGAGAAGAAUGGUCGGCAGAGUAACUGUUGUCGGCGUGACGGUAUCCAACCAGAAAGCCACGGCUAACUACGUGCCAGCAGCCGCGGUAAUACGUAGGUGGCAAGCGUUAUCCGGAUUUAUUGGGCGUAAAGCGAGCGCAGGCGGUUUUUUAAGUCUGAUGUGAAAGCCCUCGGCUUAACCGAGGAAGUGCAUCGGAAACUGGGAAACUUGAGUGCAGAAGAGGACAGUGGAACUCCAUGUGUAGCGGUGAAAUGCGUAGAUAUAUGGAAGAACACCAGUGGCGAAGGCGGCUGUCUGGUCUGUAACUGACGCUGAGGCUCGAAAGCAUGGGUAGCGAACAGGAUUAGAUACCCUGGUAGUCCAUGCCGUAAACGAUGAAUGCUAGGUGUUGGAGGGUUUCCGCCCUUCAGUGCCGCAGCUAACGCAUUAAGCAUUCCGCCUGGGGAGUACGACCGCAAGGUUGAAACUCAAAGGAAUUGACGGGGGCCCGCACAAGCGGUGGAGCAUGUGGUUUAAUUCGAAGCAACGCGAAGAACCUUACCAGGUCUUGACAUCUUUUGAUCACCUGAGAGAUCAGGUUUCCCCUUCGGGGGCAAAAUGACAGGUGGUGCAUGGUUGUCGUCAGCUCGUGUCGUGAGAUGUUGGGUUAAGUCCCGCAACGAGCGCAACCCUUAUGACUAGUUGCCAGCAUUUAGUUGGGCACUCUAGUAAGACUGCCGGUGACAAACCGGAGGAAGGUGGGGAUGACGCCAAAUCAUCAUGCCCCUUAUGACCUGGGCUACACACGUGCUACAAUGGAUGGUACAACGAGUUGCGAGACCGCGAGGUCAAGCUAAUCUCUUAAAGCCAUUCUCAGUUCGGACUGUAGGCUGCAACUCGCCUACACGAAGUCGGAAUCGCUAGUAAUCGCGGAUCAGCACGCCGCGGUGAAUACGUUCCCGGGCCUUGUACACACCGCCCGUCACACCAUGAGAGUUUGUAACACCCGAAGCCGGUGGCGUAACCCUUUUAGGGAGCGAGCCGUCUAAGGUGGGACAAAUGAUUAGGGU
rnacentral:rRNA from 1 species